rnacentral:misc_RNA from 1 species
UUGAAAGUAUCAAUCAAUGUGAAAAAUCUUGAAACUGCUUGUGAAUCAAAUGCGCUUAAUUAGGCCAGAAGAAGUAGUUUACUAGGAUCAUAGACUACCAGUUGUAGAUAUCAGUGAUGUCUCUGUAUUCUGCAGUGAGCAUACAAAACAUGAAUUUCAAAAGAGUCAGCUCAGAUCAAAUGAUAGCAAAUAUCCUAUCAUAGGCUGCAAAACCUCGACUCUAUUUUUAUCAACGACAAGCCCGGGAAGUUGACCCUGCAUCGACUUGCUAAAUAAACAAUAUAAACAAUGAUUCAUGAAUUAUAACCAACAAUAUGGCUACAUCACUGAAAUUGGGAAUUUGCAUCACAACCCCACCCCCACAAAUAUGAUCAUCAAUAUGAAACUAGAUCCGCCAGAUCAUCUUGGUUUAUAAAAAAAUUUGAUCAAAAUGUGCAUAUGCAAAGGUAUAAAACUAUAAAAGUAAUAGCUUUAUACAAUAUUUCAAAUUAGAUUCAGAUUACAGAGCCAGC